AGCUAUUAGAGUUUGAUCCUGGCUCAGGACGAACGCUGGCGGCGUGCUUAACACAUGCAAGUCGAGCGGUAAGGCCCUUCGGGGUACACGAGCGGCGAACGGGUGAGUAACACGUGGGUGACCUGCCCCCUACUCUGGGAUAAGCCUGGGAAACUGGGUCUAAUACCGGAUAUGACUACAUGUCGCAUGGUGUGUGGUGGAAAGUUUUUCGGUGGGGGAUGGGCCCGCGGCCUAUCAGCUUGUUGGUGGGGUGAUGGCCUACCAAGGCGACGACGGGUAGCCGGCCUGAGAGGGCGACCGGCCACACUGGGACUGAGACACGGCCCAGACUCCUACGGGAGGCAGCAGUGGGGAAUAUUGCGCAAUGGGCGGAAGCCUGACGCAGCGACGCCGCGUGGGGGAUGACGGCCUUCGGGUUGUAAACCUCUUUCGGCCCCGACGAAGCGUGAGUGACGGUAGGGGUAGAAGAAGCACCGGCCAACUACGUGCCAGCAGCCGCGGUAG
rnacentral:rRNA from 1 species